rnacentral:rRNA from 2 species
UAAGUCUGAUGGAGCACGCCGCGUGAGUGAAGAAGGGUUUCGGCUCGUAAAACUCUGUUGUUAGAGAAGAACAGCCGUGAGAGCAACUGCUCACGGUAUGACGGUAUCUAACCAGAAAGUCACGGCUAACUACGUGCCAGCAGCCGCGGUAAUACGUAGGUGGCAAACGUUGUCCGGAUUUAUUGGGCGUAAAGGGAGCGCAGGCGGUUUAUUAAGUCUGAUGUGAAAGCCUUCGGCUUAACCGGAGAAGUGCAUCGGAAACUGAUAAACUUGAGUGCAGAAAAGGAUAGUGGAACUUCAUGUGUAGCGGUGAAAUGCGUAGAUAUAUGAAGGAACACCAGUGGCGAAGGCGGCUAUCUGGUCUGUAACUGACGCUGAGGCUCGAAAGCAUGGGUAGCAAACAGGAUUAGAUACCCUGGUAGUCCAUGCCGUAAACGAUGAAUGCUAGGUGUUGGAAGGUUUCCGCCUUUCAGUGCCGCAGCUAACGCAUUAAGCAUUCCGCCUGGGGAGUACGACCGCAAGGUUGAAACUCAAAGGAAUUGACGGGGACCCGCACAAGCGGUGGAGCAUGUGGUUUAAUUCGAUGCUACGCGAAGAACCUUACCAGGACUUGACAUCUUCUGCCAAUCUAAGAGAUUAGACGUUCCCUUCGGGGACAGAAUGACAGGUGGUGCAUGGUUGUCGUCAGCUCGUGUCGUGAGAUGUUGGGUUAAGUCCCGCAACGAGCGCAACCCUUGUCUUUAGUUGCCAGCAUUAAGUUGGGCACUCUAGAGAGACUGCCGGUGAUAAACCGGAGGAAGGGUGGGGAUGACGUCAAAUCAUCAUGCCCCUUAUGUCCUGGGCUACACACGUGCUACAAUGGGCGAUACAACGAGUUGCGAAACCGCGAGGUCAAGCUAAUCUCUUAAAGUCGUUCUCAGUUCGGGAUUGCAGUCUGCAACUCGACUGCAUGAAGUUGGAAUCGCUAGUAAUCGUGGAU